CUACCCUUGACAUGCCAGGAACUUUCCAGAGAUGGAUUGGUGCCCGAAAGGGAGCCUGGACACAGGUGCUGCAUGGCUGUCGUCAGCUCGUGUCGUGAGAUGUUGGGUUAAGUCCCGCAACGAGCGCAACCCUUGUCAUUAAUUGCCAUCAUUUAGUUGGGCACUUUAAUGAGACUGCCGGUGACAAACCGGAGGAAGGUGGGGAUGACGUCAAGUCCUCAUGGCCCUUAUGGGUAGGGCUUCACACGUCAUACAAUGGUCGGUACAGAGGGUUGCCAAGCCGCGAGGUGGAGCCAAUCCCAGAAAGCCGAUCGUAGUCCGGAUCGCAGUCUGCAACUCGACUGCGUGAAGUCGGAAUCGCUAGUAAUCGCGGAUCAACAUGUCGCGGUGAAUACGUUCCC
rnacentral:rRNA from 1 species